AGAGCGAACGCUGGCGGCAGGCCUAAUACAUGCAAGUCGAACGGCUCUUCGGAGCAGUGGCGGACGGGUGAGUAACGCGUGGGAAUGUGCCCUUUGGUACGGAACAACUGAGGGAAACUUCAGCUAAUACCGUAUGUGCCCUUCGGGGGAAAGAUUUAUUGUCAUUGGAGCAGCCCGCGUUGGAUUAGCUAGUUGGUGGGGUAAAGCCCACCAAGGCGACGAUCCAUAGCUGGUCUGAGAGGAUGAUCAGCCACACUGGGACUGAGACACGGCCCAGACUCCUACGGGAGGCAGCAGUAGGGAAUCUUGCGCAAUGGGCGAAAGCCUGACGCAGCCAUGCCGCGUGAAUGAUGAAGGUCUUAGGAUUGUAAAAUUCUUUCACCGGGAAGAUAAUGACGGUACCCGGAGAAGAAGCCCGGCUAACUUCGUGCCAGCAGCCGC
rnacentral:rRNA from 1 species